rnacentral:rRNA from 1 species
GUAGGUGGCAAGCGUUAUCCGGAAUUAUUGGGCGUAAAGCGCGCGUAGGCGGUUUUUUAAGUCUGAUGUGAAAGCCCACGGCUCAACCGUGGAGGGUCAUUGGAAACUGGAAAACUUGAGUGCAGAAGAGGAAAGUGGAAUUCCAUGUGUAGCGGUGAAAUGCGCAGAGAUAUGGAGGGACACCAGUGGCGAAGGCGACUUUCUGGUCUGUAACUGACGCUGAUGUGCGAAAGCGUGGGGAUCAAACAGGAUUAGAUACCCUGGUAGUCCACGCCGUAAACGAUGAGUGCUAAGUGUUAGGGGGUUUCCGCCCCUUAGUGCUGCAGCUAACGCAUUAAGCACUCCGCCUGGGGAGUACGACCGCAAGGUUGAAACUCAAGGGAAUUGACGGGGACCCGCACAAGCGGUGGAGCAUGUGGUUUAAUUCGAAGCAACGCGAAGAACCUUACCAAAUCUUGACAUCCUCUGACUCCUCUAGAGAUAGAGUUUUCCCCUUCGGGGGACAGAGUGACAGGUGGUGCAUGGUUGUCGUCAGCUCGUGUCGUGAGAUGUUGGGUUAAGUCCCGCAACGAGCGCAACCCUUAAGCUUAGUUGCCAUCAUUAAGUUGGGCACUCUAAGUUGACUGCCGGUGACAAACCGGAGGAAGGUGGGGAUGACGUCAAAUCAUCAUGCCCCUUAUGAUUUGGGCUACACACGUGCUACAAUGGACAAUACAAAGGGUAGCGAAACCGCGAGGUCAAGCAAAUCCCAUAAAGUUGUUCUCAGUUCGGAUUGUAGUCUGCAACUCGACUAUAUGAAGAUGGAAUCGCUAGUAAUCGUAGAUCAGCAUGCUACGGUGAAUACGUUCCCGGGUCUU